ACGCGUGCUCCGGGGUCGGUGUAAUUCCGAGCCGGCGGUGACAGUCCGCGAGCCCGUCCUCUCGAGGUCGGGUUGAGCUGGUGGGACUCCAGCACCGACGGUGAAAGUCCGGAUGGGAGGCAGCACGCGG
rnacentral:ncRNA from 2 species